rnacentral:rRNA from 1 species
AGCGAUGAACCGUGCUUGCACGGUGGAUUAGCGGCGAAAGGGAGAGUAACGCGUAGGUAUGUACCCUCAGGUCCGGGAUAGCGGCGGGAAACUGCCGGUAAUACCGGAUAACGUGUCAGCACCAAAGGUGUGAUUCCGCCUGAGGAGCGGCCUGCGUCCUAUUAGGUUGUUGGUGGGGUAAUGGCCUACCAAGCCGAAGAUGGGUACCGGGUGUGAGAGCAUGGCCCGGCUCACUGGGACUGAGACACUGCCCAGACACCUACGGGUGGCUGCAGUCGAGAAUCUUCCGCAAUGGACGAAAGUCUGACGGAGCGACGCCGCGUGCGGGAUGAAGGCCUUCGGGUUGUAAACCGCUGUCAGAGAGGCGGAAAUGCAUGGGGGUUAUCCCCCGUGUUUGACCUAAUCUCAGAGGAAGCGCAGGCUAAGUUCGUGCCAGCAGCCGCGGUAACACGAACUGCGCGAACGUUAUUCGGAAUCACUGGGCUUAAAGAGUCCGUAGGCGGCCUGGAGGGUGGGGUGUGAAAUCCCACAGCUCAACUGUGGAAUUGCGCUUCAAACCGCCAGGCUAGAGGGAGUCAGGGGUGAGCGGAACUGAUGGUGGAGCGGUGAAAUGCGUUGAUAUCAUCAGGAACACCGGUGGCGAAGGCGGCUCACUGGGGCUCUUCUGACGCUGAGGGACGAAAGCUAGGGGAGCGAACGGGAUUAGAUACCCCGGUAGUCCUAGCUGUAAACGAUGAGCACUGGGUCGAGGAAACCUCCACAUUUUCUCGGCCGUAGCGAAAGCGUUAAGUGCCCCGCCUG